AUAGGCGGGUAAAAUUUCAUUCCCUCCCUUUAUUUUUUCAUUUGCCUCUUUUUCUAUUAUUUCCCUCUACUCACUCUCUUUUCUCUCACUUCACCCAAAACCAACCCCCAAAAUCUAAAUCGAUUUCUGCCCAAAAUUCAACUCUCUUCUUCAAAGUCGAUUUCUGUCAAAAGCCGCUUCAAAUAGUUGUGUAAUGUGAUACUUCAAUCGGAGAAGUUACUACUCAAAAGAUGCAAUCAGAUCGAGUUUGGAACUU